rnacentral:rRNA from 1 species
AUGCCCCGUCAGCUUGAUCAAGUUUUUACCUUAGCUGCUGAAGGCACUGCGGGUGCCACCAUCUCUGCCGUUAACUCCGCACUGUUUCAAGUGAUCUCCUUCUCUUACCUACCUUUUUCCUCAACUCUGAUACUGCGAUCAACGACAACUGACCGUAACAUAGCCAUCACUAACAUUUACGCCCCCUCCUUACGCGCGCUCAAGCAACAAUUCUUUGAUGAAUUUUUAGCCAUCGCCCAACUAGAUGGUUCGCCAUGGCUACUCGUAGGUGACUUCAACCUCCUACGAUCUCCCUUAGACAAAAACAACGAUGCUUUCCGACACUCAAAGGCCAACGCUUUCAACCAAAUAAUUGAUACAUUUGCCCUCAUCGAGUUACCACUUCUAGACCGCCAAUUUACUUGGUCUAACAACAGAACCACACCCACCCUUGAACGCAUCGACCGCGCCUUCUUCAACUUAGCCUGGGUUGAUGCCUUCCCCAACUCCUCACUCACACCCCUCACGCGUUUCACGCCUGAUCACGUCCCCCUCAUCAUCCAUGUCACCACAACAAUCCCGCGCUCAAACUUCUUUAAAUUCGAAGCUGCUUGGGCCAAUUUGCAGCCCUGUUGA